GGGCCUGCCCAGUGAUAUUUCAACGGCCGCGGUACUCUGACCGUGCAAAGGUAGCAUAAUCAUUUGCCCUAUAAUUAAGGGCUAGUAUGAACGGUCUAACAAGAAUGGAACUGUCUCUUUUAAAAUCCUUAGAAUUUGGUCUUUAGGUGAAGAAACCUAAAUUAUAUUGAUAGACAAGAAGACCCUAUCGAGCUUUAAAACAAUUAGUUAAACAAAUAGAUAACACUAACUUUAACUAAAAAUUUUAGUUGGGGCGACUAAGGAACAAACAAAGCUUCCUUAAUAAAUUCUACACUAAUAAGUAAUGAUCCAAAAUAUUUGAUUAAUAAAAUUAGUUACCGUAGGGAUAACAGCAUAAUCUUCUUCAAGAGUUCUUAUCGAAAAGAAUGUUUGUGACCUCGAUGUUGGACUAGGAUAUCCAAAAGAUGCAGAAGUCUUUAAAGGUUGGUCUGUUCGACCAAUAAAAUCCUACGUGAUCUAUCU
rnacentral:rRNA from 1 species